UGGCUAUUGUAAUUUUUAAUCGCAAUUAAUGGAAUAUGAGUCUCAUGCAUGUUCUUAUCGAAUGACAAACAGGAGAAGGGAUGGCUAAUAAGUAAUUGUAUAUGCCUCGGUAUAGAGAUAGGAACUGGUUUAGAGCUGUUGAUUCUUGAAUAGUUAAACAAGGCAAGUUGCAUUGGCUGUUUGUUAAUCACAGGGAGAAAGUCUCAAGUUAGUGUCAAGAGCAGAACAGGAAGAGGAGAACAUAGUCAAAGAAAAUGGGUGAAGUUCAAAGAGUGAAACUGGGAAGUCAAGGAUCUGAGGUAAGAUUUAUUGUCCAUCAGGGCAAAAUUGAGUGGUCGUUCUGGACUCGUGACAUUGAGGAAGAAAUCAUCCCACUUUGCAGGUUCUUUAUAUCUGAGAAACCAAAUUUCUUACCAAAAUUAAAUGCUUACUCUACAUGUAUGUUUCAAUUCUAAGUUUUACUCAAAGUUUACUAGUAAACUGAAUACCAUUGUCCAACAUUUUAAUUCUGCUUAAUUGAUUUCACUUGCUUUACUAUUGUAUGUUAACCAAUUGCCUUCCAGUAUCUGCAAGCUUUUCCUGUAAAUCAUGGAGGGCUGCACUGUGUCUUUUUCUGUUUCUAGUAAAUUCUGUAACUACCACUUAGUUAUAGUCAUCGUUUGAAUAUGGUCAAUGUAACAGGAAACUUGACAUUGGGAUAGUCCCAUAUAGUCCUCUUGGUCAAGGUCUUUUUGCCGGCAAGAAAGUUGUGGAAAGUGUUUCUGCACAAAGUUUUCUGGAAUCCACCAAAGAUUUCAGGGAGAGAACUUUGACAAAAACAAGAUCUUCCAUUUCCGUUUGGAAAAGUUAGCUGAAAAGCAUGGAUGCACCCCUGCACAACUUGCACUUUCUUGGGUACUUCACCAAGGAGAUGAUGAACAACUAAGAUUAAGAAUGUUGACAAUAAUAUUGGUUCUCUAAUAAGUUGACAAAUGAAGAUUUAGAAGAGAUUUCUGCUGCUGUGCCCAUUAAUAAGGUGUCGGGGAGUAGAUUUACAAAUGAUAACUUUCUUCAUGCCUCCCGGAAAUUUGGUAGCUGAUAGGUACCUGGAGGAUGCAGGAGCUGGUUCGGCCAGGUUACCUCGCCUCGACAGCCAGAAAUCGAAAGAGUUGGCAAAUCACAGAUGAAGUUCGUAGGGAUAUUUGUGUUGUUGGCAAUUUAUUAAUGUAUAUUGCGACGACAAUGAAACAGCAAACUCUUUGUAUAAAUUAUAUUAUAG